AUUGAACGCUGGCGGCAGGCCUAACACAUGCAAGUCGAACGAGUGGCGGACGGGUGACUAAUGUCUGGGAAACUUCCUGAUGGAGGGGGAUAACUACUGGAAACGGUUGCUAAUAACGCAUAACUUCAGAUGUGCCCAGGUGGGAUUAGCUAGUUGGGGGGGUAAAGGAUCACCAAGGCGACGAUCCCUAGCUGGUCUGAGAGGAUGACCAGCCAAACUGGAACGUAGACACGGUCCAGACUCCUACGGUAGGCAGCAGUGGGGAAUAUUGCACAAUGGGCGCAAGCCUGAUGCAGCCAUGCCGCGUGUAUGAAGAAGGCCUUCGGGUUGUAAAGUACUUUCAGCGGGGAGGCGUUACCCGCAGAAGAAGCACCGGCUAACUCCGUGCCAGCAGCCGCGGUAAUAC
rnacentral:rRNA from 1 species